ensembl:snRNA U6 U6 spliceosomal RNA
GUGCUUGCUCUGGUGGCACAUACACUAAAAUUGGAAUGAUACAGAGAAGAUUAGCAUGGCCUCUGUGCAAGGAUAACACACACAUUCAUGAAGCAUCCCGUAUUUUU